GGAGUGACAUUGACACUGUGUAUAUUGUGGCAUAGCAAGGUGGGGUGACCCUGGCACUAUGUACAUGUAAUAUGGCAGGUUGGGGUGAGCCUGGCACUGUGUACAUCUAACAUGGCAGGUUGUGGUGAGCUUGGAACUGUGUACAUGUGGUAUGGUACGUUGGAGUGACAUUGACACUGUGAAUGUUCUGGCAUAGCAAGGUG